GCUGGGCACGCUGGGGCACUCUUGUAGUCCCAGCUUCUCAGGAAGCUGAGGCAGGAAGAUUGUUUGAACCCAGGAGUCUGAGACCAGCCCGAGCAACAUAGUGAGACCCUGUCUAAA
rnacentral:sRNA from 1 species